GGCUGUUUCACUUUGUGAUUUGCAGCAGAGCUGUGAGCGUCUUCAUCAGGAGCUCCAGCAAACAUUAACAGACACAAGCAGAGGAAACCGCUACACACUCACUGUGAUCAUGUCAUGUAGCUCGUGUUUCUGGGCUGUGAUCUGGCUGCUGGUUCUACUGAUUCUCGGCUGGCCCCUGAGCAUCAUGUUGGGGAGUCUGUAUACCCUCUUCGCCCCGCUCAUCGUCUGCUUGGGUAUGGACCGGCUGGCUGACCUGCUGAUGGAGGGAACUAACCUGGGCCGAAAGUGCGCUCUGAACAUGAGACGCGGGAAAAACCCCUGUGCUGAAAACACCUCAAGAAGAUCUUCUGGAGUCUGAGCUGCCCAGAUCUCUGUGUGCUUGAUUCUUUGUGACUGCGACAUGAUGCUUCUGUAAAGCCUUGGUGAUCUUUUCUUGCUUUCAUUCUCCAUCAGUUGCUCGCAUCGCUGUUAAAUAUUAAAAUUUAAAUACUCUUUCAGUA